AUCCUUGAAAGAGUGCGUAAUAGCUCACUGGUCAAGUGAUUCCGCGCCGACAAUUCAGCGGGGCUCAAGCCGUCCGCCGAAGCUGUGGCGUCCGCGCGUGUGCCAGGCGCCGGGUCCUGCCCGGUGUCCAGGCGCGUGGAUGGGUAGGGGAGCGUUGUGCGUGCCGUGAAGCGUCGGGGUGACCCGGUGUGGAGUGCGCGCAAGUGAGAAUGCAGGCAUGAGUAGCGUUUUGACGGGUGGGAAACCCGUCCGCCGAAUAUCCAAGGGUUCCGGGGUCAAGUUGAUCUGCCCCGGGUGAGUCGGGUCCUAAGGCGAGGCCGACAGGCGUAGUCGAUGGUUGACGGGUUGAUAUUCCCGUACCGGCCCAGCAACGUUCCUGUCGAAUCGGAUGAUGCUAAGCACGCGAGAUGUCUCCGGCGCUUUCGGGUGCUGGUGGUGUCGAGUCUGUGAACCGAGUCUGUAGUAGACAAGCUGCGGAGGGACGCAGGAAGGUGGCUCGACAGCCGUCAUGGUAAGGCUGUCAAGUCUGUAGGGUGACUGGUAGGCAAAUCCGCUGGUCGUGUGCCUGAGAGAUGAUGAGAGGGGCCCUGUGAGAGGGUCCGUGUUCGAGUGAUCCUAUGCUGCCUAGAAAAGCUUCGUGAGCGAGUUGUUGUGCCGCCCGUACCCCAAACCGACACUGGUGGAUAGGUAGAGAAUACCGAGGCGAUCGAGAUAAUCGUGGUGAAGGAACUCGGCAAAAUCCUCCCGUAACUUCGGAAUAAGGGAGACUUGAGGCGUGAGGGGCCCGCGCGGCCCUCAGCGCCGGGAGUCGCAGUGAAUUGACCCAAGCGACUGCUUACUAAAAGCACAGGUCCGUGCGAAGUCGUAAGACGAUGUAUACGGACUGACUCCUGCCCGGUGCUGGAAGGUCAAGGGGAACCGUCAGCCUCACGGCGAAGCGGUGAACUUAAGCCCCAGUAAACGGCGGUGGUAACUAUAACCAUCCUAAGGUAGCGAAAUUCCUUGUCGGGUAAGUUCCGACCUGCACGAAUGGAGUAACGACUUGGGUACUGUCUCCACCACGAACUCGGUGAAAUUGCAUUACGAGUAAAGAUGCUCGUUACGCGCAGCAGGACGGAAAGACCCCGGGACCUUUACUACAGUUUGGUAUUGGUGAUCGGUGCGACUUGUGUAGGAUAGGUGGGAGACUGUGAAGCGGCCACGCCAGUGGCCGUGGAGUCGUCGUUGAAAUACCACUCUGGUCGUUCUGGUUAUCUAACCUCGGACCGUGACCCGGUUCAGGGACAGUGCCUGAUGGGUAGUUUGACUGGGGCGGUCGCCUCCCAAAGAGUAACGGAGGCGCCCAAAGGUCCCCUCAGCCUGGUCGGCAACCAGGUGUCGAGUGCAAGUGCACAAGGGGGCUUGACUGUGAGACGGACACGUCGAGCAGGGACGAAAGUCGGGACUAGUGAUCUUCUGGUGGCGUGUGGAAGCGCCAGAACUCAACGGAUAAAAGGUACCCCGGGGAUAACAGGCUGAUCUUGCCCGAGCGCUCACAGCGACGGCAUGGUUUGGCACCUCGAUGUCGGCUCGUCGCAUCCUGGGGCUGGAGUCGGUCCCAAGGGUUGGGCUGUUCGCCCAUUAAAGCGGCACGCGAGCUGGGUUAAGAACGUCGUGAGACAGUUCGGUCCCUAUCCGCUGCGCGCGUAGGAAUCUUGAGAAGGGCUGUCCUCAGUACGAGAGGACCGGGACGGACCAACCUCUGGUGUGCCAGUUGUUCCUCCAGGAGCAUGGCUGGUUGGCUACGUUGGGAAGUGAUAACCGCUGAAAGCAUCUAAGUGGGAAGCACGCUUCAAGAUGAGGAUUCCCCAGCCUCGUGCUGGUAAGGCCCCCGGCAGACCACCGGGUUGAUGGGUCGGACGUGGAAGCGCCGCGAGGCGUGGAGCUGACCGAUCCCAAACGGCCGAGAGGCUUGCCA
rnacentral:rRNA from 1 species